CAGCCACACUGGGACUGAGACACGGCCCAGACUCCUACGGGAGGCAGCAGUGGGGAAUCUUGCGCAAUGGGCGAAAGCCUGACGCAGCGACGCCGCGUGAGGGAAGAAGGCCUUCGGGUUGCAAACCUCUUUCAGGAGGGACGAAGCUACUCGGGUUAAUAGCCCAGAGGGUGACGGUACCUCCAGAAGAAGCCCCGGCUAACUACGUGCCAGCAGCCGCGGUAAUACGUAGGGGGCAAGCGUUGUCCGGAUUUACUGGGCGUAAAGAGCGUGUAGGCGGCAAAGCAGGUCUGUUGUGAAAACUGGAGGCUCAACCUCCAGACGUCGACAGAAACCGCUUGGCUAGAGUCCGGAAGAGGAGAGUGGAAUUCCUGGUGUAGCGGUGAAAUGCGCAGAUAUCAGGAAGAACACCAAUGGCGAAGGCAGCUCUCUGGGACGGUACUGACGCUGAGACGCGAAAGCGUGGGGAGCGAACAGGAUUAGAUACCCUGGUAGUCCACGCCGUAAACGAUGGGUGCUAGGUGUGGGGGGUGUCGAC
rnacentral:rRNA from 1 species